GGUGGAGGAGCAGAAAGAAGUUGGACGUGCUCUCCCAACGAGGUGUUGGUCAAUGCCCUUGUCAGCAGUGGCCGCACCUGCGUUCUUGUGUCCGAGGAGGACGAGGAGGCUUCAUACUUGGACCGAAAGCUCCGUGGGAAGUACUGUGUCUGCUUUGAUCCCCUGGAUGGCUCCUCCAACAUCAACU